rnacentral:lncRNA from 1 species
CUUCAAGUCAAAGUGUGCGAUGCGCUUGGAAUGCAGGUAAUGCACCCCGUCCAGGAUCUGCUUGAGGAACUGCGUGGCCUCCUCCUCCGUCAGCGAUUCCUUCUCGGCCAGGAAGUCGAAGAGCUCCCCGCCCGACACCAGCUCCAGGAUCAGCACCACGUCCGUCUUGUUCUCGAAGAUGUCGUGCAGUGUGAUGAUGUUGGGGUGUUGGAUCUCCCUCAGGAUGUCCACCUCCCUCUCGAUCUCCUCCCUGCUCACACCCCGACGGCUCGACGACAGCCGCCGCUUCUUGAUGAAUUUGGCCGCGUAUUCCACGCCCGUUUUCCUCUCCCGGCAUUUUCUCACGAUGGCGAAUUGGCCGCUGCCCAGCUCUUCCCCCAUCUCGUAGAAGUCCUCCACGCUCUCCUGCCGGAAGGUGGACAUGGCCGCGGCCCCGCGGUUC